rnacentral:rRNA from 1 species
UACAGAGGUCCCCAAGCGUUUGUUCGGAUUCACUGGGCGUAAAGGGUGCGUAGGCGGCGCGGUAAGUCGGGUGUGAAAUCUCGGGGCUUAACUCCGAAACUGCAUUCGAUACUGCCGUGCUUGAGGACUGGAGAGGAGACUGGAAUUUGACGGUGUAGCGGUGAAAUGCGUAGAUAUCGUAAGGAAGACCAGUGGCGAAGG